UAGGCAGUGCGCUGUAAGCUGGCUGCUUGGCUCAAUUUAGCAGUCAGGACUGCCCUGCCACU
ensembl:miRNA mdo-mir-449b mdo-mir-449b